rnacentral:misc_RNA from 1 species
AACCUAGCACACCUGCGGUGUGUACCUGCGGAGGGAUCAUUACACAAUACAAUAUGAAGGCUGUCCGCAGCUGGAGUAUUUUAUUACCCUUGUCUUUUGCGCACUUGUUGUUUCCUGGGCGGGUUCGCUCGCCACCAGGACCACCAAAUAAACCUUUUUUAUGCAGUUGCAAUCAGCGUCAGUACAAACAAUGUAAAUCAUUUACAACUUUUAGCAAUGGAUCUCAGAUCGGAAGAGCAC